UUGGUUGCCAUCCACAGAACUGUGCAAUAUCUAGUGCACUCUGGAGCACAGUUGAUCAGAAACUUUCACGUUUCUUUCUAUCUCAGUUGAUUUUUCUUAAUGCAGGCCAUUCUGUAUGUUCUCUUUGAAGUGUUGCCACCCAUUUCAUCUGUCUGCUACUAAUGUUUCCCUUUCCAAUCUGACUGUCCUGGGACACGCUCAGUAGCUUUCUGAGCUUAUUACUUAGUGAAAUUAUUAUAUUAAAAAAAUUAUUAUAUAUAUAAAAAAAGAUUCCUUAACAGUUUUCCCAAUUUCACUAACAACUUUUGCAGUUAUCUAAACUCUUACCUUGCUGACAAAUUUCAAGCACGUCCUACUUUGCAAAAUAGCAUUUACUAAAAUAACCUUUAAUCACGGUCCUGUUAGCCUGGAUUCCCGUUCUUGCUUUUGCCAGCUGCAUUUCAGAGAAAGCUUUUUCAUUUUCUUGUAAACAUCUCAGCCUGGAGGAUCCUUAGUGUGAUCUUACUACUUACCAGUUGUGACAGGACUGGUUCUCUGUCAUGCAACUAAUUGCAAUUCGUGAGUUGUGACAUCUUUGAACAUUUCCUGACAAUUGAAGAGAGACUCAGAUAAAAAUAAGUGCAAUAAUGGCAGAAGGAAUAUUACAAAGUAUGACAAAUCAUCAUGAGAUAGGAGCAGGAGUGUCAGGAUCUCACAGGAUUCAUGAGUUCUUUGCAUUUCUGUUACUUUUUUCAUUGUACAUUUCUAAUUGCUGUUGCUUAUUGAAAGGCGUCAGCUCUCAAAAAUAACUCAAGGGCAACUGGCAUUUUGGUUAUCUCUUACCAGCCUUUGUUUAAAAAAAACCAUUGAAAGUGAAUCUUCAAAACCCUUUCUUUUCCUCCUACUACUGAAAGAAAAACUUUGUUUUCAGAAACCUGUAGGAGACUUAUUUUGAAGUUUAGAUACAAUUCUGUGUCUAUAUUUUUGUUGGCAGAAUAAUGCUGUAUUUGUGAACAGAGUCUUUCAUUUACUUCACAUUCCUUCCAAUAGGUUACAUGUUUGUUUGCUAUUUUUACCCUCUGAUUAACACUGUGCUGCAUUGGAGUAAUACAGCAUGCAGUAAUGGUACUUUAGGGGUCAGGAGGAAUUGGUUUAUAAGGAAGGAUUAGACGAGUUUAACAGUGUGAGUGAGGCUUUCAAAGAUACCUAGAGACAUUAAAUCAACAGUCCCAUCAAAAUAACAAGACUUGAUGCAUAUCCUAAAGAGAGAAAACUCCUACCUGUGCUUGUUAAUGAUGUUCUACUCCACUAAAAAUGUGUUUGAUAUGCUUUCGUUAGCACAGCUUCUGUGUGAGAGGGAAAUGUUGCUUUCACCAUGUGUAAAAUGUCUAUAAGCAGAGGUCUCAAUUGUGCAGACAGUCACUUUUCAUUAAUGUUAUGAGCAGGGACUCUGCAUCAUUAUUUUACAUAAAGAUAUAUUUUUUUUGUUUUAAAUAGCUGCCAAGAACUGGUGAGCUCAGAGCAGGUAGGAGAAUGUGACGGCAUUCCUAUGGAAUUCAGUGAAGGGCAUUUUCCUUUGCAAGGUCAUAGCAGAAAUGAAAUGCGGUUGUUGACUCAGAUAUCUGUUAGGAUUAUUCAGGAUGUUUUUUCAUGAAGCUACUGGGUCUAGGUUGAAGUGUAGCAGUGAAAGCUUAGUGUUCAGAGCAGGAACAAAGGGCUGUGCUGCAGGAUACUUAAUGUUUGCUGUCAUGGAAACCUGUUGCCUUGGAACAUGACUAAUGAGACCCAGGUUAAAGGAAAGGAAGAAGCCAUUCUUGAAAUUACUCUCCAGCAAACCCUCAUGAAGACCAGCAGUAUAUAUUACCAAAACUUACAUUUAUUUCAGGUUCUGUUGCCUGAUUCAUUUAACCUUGUCCUUUUAUUUGCUUAGCAGCUCUAGUAACAAGGAGUUUUAAUAAAAAGAAUGCUAUGAAAUACUUUAAAGCUCAUCUCUAGACCUUCUAGAAAUAACUAGCUUCUUAUUUCGUACUUCUUUCCUAGCGUGCUACAGUAUUUGUCCAAAUUCUGUGGCAGGGCCGUGUUGACAACAAACUGGCAGAUGAGGGAUCCUGCAACAUGCUGGGAAUUCCCACCCAGCAGUUCAGAUGAGCUGAGGGAGUUUGGCUUUGGUUGUAGUCAUUCAUUUUAAAGAAUAUCUCAGAUAUGUGAGCGAGGGUACAUAUUCUGUGUACGUAUUCCUAUGAAAAAAACUGGAGGGGUACCUCAAAGUUUACUUCCCCUUUCUGUCACCUUCUUUUCAAGUUCUGCUGAGAAUUCUCUUCCCGAGCUUCUUGCUCCAAAACCAGUGUGCAUCAUUACACAGCAGAUUCUGUAACAGAGAGCAGAAAUACAAAAGUCUUCUGUGAGCUGAUGUUUUUCCUCUUGCAAAGGUGAAUUUUGUAUGUCUGAUAAUGAGUCCUAAUUGAGCAAAACAAUGCAUGGUUUGGAAUCCCUAGGCACACAGUGACAAAUCUGUUAUGGCUCGUCACGGUUCUCAGAUGCUUCCUGGACCAGAAUCUUGCAUGAUAAAUGGGCAGCAGCUGUGUGAGCCUCGCUGCCUUGCAGAGAUCAUGCUUCAGGGUCCUCUGGAAGCUGACGGUGAGAAGGCAACCUUAGCAGAGCAGAGCUGAUAACAGCAAAUCAGAGUGGAACAUCUUUAAAGAAGUUUCAGGUGAAAUGAUAUGUUCUUUCUUUAUUUCUUAGUGGACUUGCUUGGAUAUGGAUAUGCUUGGGGUGAGCAGGAGAACUGUAUUGAAAGAACAAUCUGACAAAGUGGCAAGAAAGGAAUAUUCUGCAAACAACAGAAUGGGACUUGGGUUUUGCAAGGUGGCAGCUGCAUUUGGGGUGAAAGGAUUUUUUUCAGGUGUGUAUUGUCAGUGAUAAGGUGGUCCUAGUCCUUAAAAAAUAGCUUGGGUGGUCGGUUUCUGUUUGGCAGGAUUAGCACAAAUUGGUAACAUUCUGCUGGCAAAACAGGGAAUGCAGAGGGCAAUGAAAUAUUAGAAAUUAUUUUAAAUGUAAUAAUGAAAUGUUGAUACAUUCUGACAUUCCCAUCAGGUCAAUGUGGGGAAAACCCCAACAUUUAACGUGACAGUUUUGCCUGAAACAAUGGAAAUAAGCACAGUGGCAAAAACAUUACCUAGGAAUGUAUACUCCAGUAUUCAUGUUUAAACCUGCCCUAAAAGACUGGACCUCAAUAAAUCAUUUUGUUCACCCUUCAGUCCCAGGCAGGAUCAGCUGCCCUUCAGCUGUAUCUGGGUGAUAUUUUUCUGACUUCUCCCAGUCAGCCUGUGGUGGAGAUCCUAAAAUGUUCCUGGACAGUCUGUCCAGGAGCUGAACUGCCUGCCAGAGGGAACCCUUCCCAAUGCCCCUCCUCCAGCUCCCUUUCCUGUAAGAUGAUCCCAGCAUUUCUUAUGAUAGCAAGCAUGGACGAAGAAAUCUUAUUGCAUUUCUCUAUGCAGCACGCUUUGAAAGGACUUUGCUUUGCUGUCUGCAGCUUCUAGGUGACACAGAUCAAUGAGGUGGGUGGGCAGCUGUGCCUUCAGGGUGGUGUACCUCAGCUCCCAUGUGUGAGCCAUAUUCAGCUGUGGCUCAUGGUUGCUUGUCAAAAAAUUGAAAUAGGAACUGCAGUGAUGGGAAGUGAAUGUUAGUUGGGGCCCAUGGACGACAUUAUGAGAUGUGUGCAACCUUCAGGCCCACUAGGAUUUCUUUGCUAAAUGAUUCUAGGAGGAUGCGCAGCAGAAGAGAUGACAGUGAUUGUGCUGUGCUUUGCUGCCUGGGUUCAAACAGGCACCCAGAAGCCAUUUUUGUUGUGAGCGUUCUAAAGUAAUGUAAAAGCAAUAUUGAUCUUCAUUUACUGUUUAUUGUUUUGUAUAGUUCUAUAUAGAAGAGUUGGGUGGUCUCUUCUGAUAGCAGGCUGCCUGUAAUGCUGCUUUUCGUAGAAUCAUCAUAAAAUAGCUUGAGAUAGAAGGCACCUUUAAUUAAAGGCCAUCUGGUCCAACUCCCCUGCAGUGAACAGGGAUGCCUACAGCACCAUGAGAUGUUCAGAGCCUGCUGCAGCCUGACCUUUGGUGUCUUCAGGGGCAGAGCAUCCAUGGGCAACCUGUGCUGAUACUUUGCCACCAUUAUUGUAAAAAAAAAAAAAAACUUCUUAUGUGCAAUCUAAAUCUCCUCUUUCAGUUUGAAACCAUUUCCUCUUGUCUUAUCACAACAGGCCCUGCUAAUGUGUGUGUCCCCUUCCUCCUAACAGCCUGUCUUUAGGCACUGACAGGCUGCUCUUAGGUCUCCCCAGAGUCUUCUGUUCUCCAGGCUGCACAGCCCCAGCUCUCAGCCUUUCCUUACAGAGGAGGUGUUCCAUCCCUUUCCUGCAUUCCCUGAUCAUUCAGCCUGUUUGUGUGUUCCAGGUCAGUUGCUUCGUUCAUCCUCAGGCUUUUGUGCCCAGCACUGGGGCCUGAGCCAGCAAGCAGGAAAAAGUGCAUGUGGGUGCAGGGCUGUACUGUGGCAGCAUUCCCCAGCCCUGGCACUGCAUCAGCUGUGUGUGUGAGCCCUAACAGAGUACCUGUGGGGAAGAGACUUGGUGAGAGCAGAGUUCUGGCUCACAGUAGCACGCUGGGGAUCUUGGCAUUGCUGGCUGUGAGCAGUACUGCCCUGCAGCAGCCAGGAUCUGAGCUGUGUGUCUGCUGCCCGCUACAGGCCAAGAGUGCUCCUGGUCAGGCAUGCACUGCAGCCUGCGCUCGGCCCUGGGUGCAGAGCUAGCACAGUAUCUGGGCGGCAGUGGAGAGCAUUACCUGGGCAGCUGCAAGAACUGUGCAUCUGAGUGAACUUUGAGCACCUGGGGAGAGGCCCAGCCCUGCUGGUGAUGUUCCUGGAAGCACUGCCAGGUUCUAGCAGGAGACCUUACGCUGUUGGUUUUGUUUUGAGUCAGGGUCUAAUGCACCAGCCUGCACGAGGAGCUAUGCUUGAUGCGUUGAACAAAAACAGAGGUUGACCGUCAGAGGGAGCAGGCAAACAGCACAGAUGACCCCUGGCCAAACAGCGUGUGCCUGGGAGGAAGCUCAGGCUGUUAGGUUGAUACCUUUUUUUAUCUUUUUAAUGAAACCUCCUUCCUGCCAUUUCAGAGGAGUGGAGGGUUUGACGUCAUGUGCUGAUGAGUCACUGCUUUUAACAGGCCAGCAAGCAGGGACUGAGAGAGCUGUCUGGAGCAGCUGCUCUGUUAAUCAUUCACAAAAAGCUCAGAGAAAGCUCAAGGGGAAUGCUUGUGAAUAAUUAAAUUUCUGUUUUCAUUAUGAAGACUCAGUUGAUUUACCUGGAUCUGCUAGAAUCCAGGUACUGGGGAGCGAGGGGGGAGGACAGUUAUCUCACUGAUGUGUUGAUAUCCCUGUAAAUAACCUUUGGAGUCCUCAGUGUCAGUCAGGCACGUCUAUGAUUUAACAGUUUCAUGCAAAGCUUAUGUAACACAGCUCUCAUCACCAGCUACUCUGUAUCUAUCUCUGUAGCUACAACCUGUUUGACAAUAUCUCUGUAUUCUAGAGGAAGCAAGGGCCUUAGACAGGGCAAGGUGUGCAUUUUGCAGAAAGACUGAAGAUCUGCUGUAUCUCAUAGCCUGCUGCUAUCCACCAUGUACAUUCUCAAAGGAAGCAGAGCUGCCCAGGUAUGUUCACCAAUGCUUCUGCUCACCUGUGUCUUUCUUCAGGGCGUCGUUUGUGAGGCAGCAGUCCAUCAUUCCAAGUUCAUGCUGAUUCAGUGUCUUGGGAAGAUGUGUUGUACUCGUCAUUGCCAUGAGCCUAAACUCCAGAUGCUGACAUGCAGCAGUCAGAAAGUUUAUUAGGUUCAGCUUCAGAAGAGUAGGACUUACCUCCACCAGGGUCCAGGUUGGAUGCAUUCCUGUAUGAUGAAUUAUUCACUGUUCAGCUCAUCUCCAUUGUUCAAGUGCUUUAGGCAAUAGUUGCUGUCUUUGUAAUCCCGUUACCGAAGUUUGCAGUAAAGCCAGGAAAACAGAGUGUUAGAUUAACUUCACCCACACAAUGGGACUGCUGGGCAGCGAGGGCAGUGAGGUUGCUUGUGGAUAUUUACUUCAAUCGCCUGCAAGGAUGUGAGUGGAAAGUUGCUAUUCUGGCUGACGUUGGAAGAAUGGAGAAAAAAGUAUGCUAUGAAAUCACUUGAGUCUGAAAAACCUUUCUGCCUUUGGGCAUUGUGUUCAUGGAUUUAUGAUAUCCCACUGAUGUGUAGGCAGAAGCUGUUUUCAAGCUCCUAUUCAUUUCAAGCUCUGGGAAAACUGAAAUACUGAAGGAUGUAUUUCUAAUAGAUUAAUGAUGUUAUAUCUAGCUUUAUGAAUAAUCAGAGAUAUUAUGAGAUUCAAAGCACCACAAGCCAGUGAGUCUGGGAUGUGGGAUAGAGCCCCGCUUGAAUAUCACAGCUUAAGGUGGUUAUUUAUGCUAGCAGGGGAAAACGUAUCAGGAAAUCAAAUCUUGCUUGUGGAUAGAGCACAUUUUGUAUGGUGUAUGAUAAUAAUGAAAGUGAUCUUUCAGAGCAAAGUUGGUAUUGAAAUGCUGUGGAACACUGAAAAUAGAAGAAAUCAAACAGGAACUUUUGAAGCAUGGGAAUAAAACAAAAUCAAAAGGAGAAAAUCAGUUAAAAUCUAGAAAGAACACAGUUUCUGAGGCCUCGUGUCAAAUGUCGUGUGGCAGUUGACUCAACAAAAGAUGCUUUUUUGAUUUGCUUAUUAAAGGGACCUUCCGAAGAGUCACUGUUCCUGAGAAAUCAGAUGCGUUGCAUAGUUAAGUAUCAUAUUAAAAAAUAAAAGUAUAAGAUGUAGAGGCAAGAAAGCAAUAAAGCCUGAAGAGGUUAUUAAAAGCCUCCCAGAGAAAUUGCCCAUGUGAGAUAUAUUGCAAAACUGAGCAGCAGUUAGCAACGAGAACUCUGAGAUGCUGAAGCCUGACUGUGUGAUGCUGAGUUCCUUGGAGGCCUCUCUGUGUGGAUGAAGGCACCUGCAGGCUUUGCUCUGGCUUAUCAAGGCUGGAAGUAUUCUCUGUGCAAAGGGCAGGCAGGUUUACAAACAAGCUUGAAAACUUUCUCCAGACACAUUUUUCUCUUCUAAUUACAAAGCAAGUAUAGUUUAUUUUAAAAAUAACCGAUUCAGCCAGCCAUUUAAUCCUUUGCUCUCUGUACCCAGCAACGAAGUUUGAGUUUGUCUGGAAAAAUAAUAAGUGGAGAAUGAUUCACAUGAUUAGCAAGCUCCAUCACUGGGAUGCAGGCCUGCCUGCUGCAGCUCUGCUUUCUGGUCAGAGUAGAUGCUGCAGGAAAAAGCACAGUGUCUAUAGGGUCAGCUCAUGGCCGCCUUACUUCUGGCCUCUUAAUUUUUGCUUAGGAGAGCUUGUCCAGACUCCUCAAACCUCUUGCCUCUCUGAGGCUGCAGUAGGUGCCUUACUCACACAGCAAAUCUUGUAACACCAUAGUUUGUGUUAUAUUUGUCAUUAAUAAUUGAUGGAUUACUCAAAGGUUGCAUUGUGACAUUUCUAUUAUUUGUUUCCUCCGUAAGAACAGUUUUGUAAGUUAAAUUAAACAAGUUAAAAACUUUGAAGAGAUGUUUCUCCAAUGCCUUAGGAUUUCUUCUGAGCCAGGACUGAGUUUCUUUUCCAGUAUCCAUUCUUGGUGUGACACCACCCCACAUGAUUUACAAAGAACUGUACGUCAUGUGUCAACCAAGACAUCAGAUGACUCCAACGUGCCAGAUGCAAGCUAGCAUCACAGGAACUCUGCAUGUUCCCAUGAAGCUGUUCUGCAUUUUGAGAGUGUGAUAGUGUGUCUCUGAAGAGAGGCAAGGACGUGUCUGUCUUUUAGCUCCAAGCCUCCUGGAAAACAAGGCAUCUUUAAACUAAGCUAACCUAGCAGAUGACGGGUUAUCCCAGUCCCUCCUGGGAGAGGAUUUCAGUGGAAGAUGGCUGGAAGCAACUGCACGAGAAGAGCUUGAUAUAUUCUGAGUCGUGUCCCGCAGUGGAGGCAGGUUUCUGAGGCAAUGUGAGCUCAAAAAGAUCUAAUCUGGAUACUGCAACAAGAGAAUGGCUGUGGUGCAUGGGUAAUGAGACUAGAAAGAAUGCAGGUGGAUUAAUUGGACACAAAGAUUAAUUUGCUGUUCCUGAGUAACCGCAUGCUGCUGUCAGUUUUGCUUUUGAUAUUUUUUAAAGAAUUUAUAGCCUUGGCUUAUACUGUGUUUAGUGGCUGUAAUGCGAAAUGAUGGUGCCCCAAAUUCAUGUCUCCCUGUAUUACAACACACUCGAGAAGUGUGGGAGUGACCUACAUGCCGUAUGCAGGAGAGGGUUGUUUCAGAUUUGCUUUGUUUGUCAGGGUAUUUCUGUGCUUUUCUGCGUCCCAUUGAAAUAAUUCAGGUUGUAUUAAUCAGUUAUUGCAAAUAAUAUUAUGCAGGAGGGAGGAAGACCGCUUGACCUUCAGAGGCCCAUUCCUGUUCUAUUUUCUGUAAGAAUGUGGGUUGCAUCAGCUGGGACUGUGAUUGAUGGAAGGUACUUGCCUUUCUGUGUAAUGGAGAGAAACAGUACCCCUGGUACACUGUGGGGAGCCCUGUCUCUGCAGGGCUGGAAUCCAGAGCCCUUCCCUCCAGCUUUAUUUCAUUAACUCCUUUCAGAGAAUACAGCAGGAGCAUAAUCCAAUCACUUUGGAGUUCGGAGGAACUGGCGCAGGGUAGGACACUCCAGCUCAGUAAGGAGAGAUGCUGCUCUGUGACUCAUUUCCUGCAGCCAGCCACUGAGUCACUGUCCGCAUUUAUUGCUAAGAACUACGUGAAAACCUCUGAAUGGAUUCCUGGGUAGCUGAUGUUCUAUUGAACUUCAGAUACAGAAGGAGGUACUUAAAGACACGAAGGGGGGAUGUUGCCUUCUCCAAGGCCGCGAACUUUGUUGAAGUAGGUAGAGAUGUAGCAGCUAGCUUAACAGUGUGCAGGUUUUCUUUGGCCUGCAGGCCACGGCUGAAAAAAAGGGCUGAAACACAAAUACAAGUACUUUACAAGGGUUUAAAUAUGAGCUAGAGGUGAAAUGAAUUUCAUUUAAAGAAAUACAGGUUUCUGUUUUGAGAUGAAAACUAACUGAACUCAGUAAACCCCUGCGUUCUUAUCAAAAUGGCUCUUUUGUUUGAAGCCAUUCAUAAAUCCCACAGAGAAAAAUACCGAAAUAAGGUAUGACUAGACUAAAGUGAAGCUAGAUGCAUCAUUUAUUUUUCAGUAACUUUAGGAUAGCCAGCCUCAAAAUAUUGUAUAUUUUCAUCUCUCUCCAUGUGAAUUUGUCGUCUAAUGCCAUCUUUAUAUACUGAUGCAAUAUGAUGUAAUAUUCCUUCACCCAAAUAUAGUAUUAUGCCAAAAGACUUGCUUAGGUUGACCUGCCAGAAGGCAAACAUUAUGCACAGACCUACUUUUAUGUAGGCAUCCUUUCUGCUUCCAAGUAGAAGUGAUCCUGGUCAUGAGAGUUGUUGACCACAUACCUGGCAGUAUUCAUCAGCCCACCUGUUAGAGCAAAAUAGUUUCUUUUUACUUUCUUGAGAUCUAGUAAACAUUCAGAGUGACCAAAGAUCACCAUUCCAGAAUGGUGGGCCAGUUCUGUUAGCCAAGUUAACAACAACAACAACAAAAAAGACAUAAAUAGAAUGUAGGGCCACUCUGGGUCCACUCAUCCCACAGUUCUUGCAUGGUGAAUUCAGCCAGUGCUCCCAGUGGGGUCAGCAGUGACACACCUGGGCUGAAUCUUGGGCUACUUAUGAUCUAGCCUUGCAUGGCAGUAGUUGGUGCUAUGGCAGGAAGCAGCAGGACUGCCUCAUCCUGUUCUGGAUGCCUCAGCGGGGAGCAGGAUCUGGUGCAGAGCUGGUGGAUUCAUGGUUCUGUGCUUCUGGUGCUUGUGUUUCUGCUCCUGCACAGCUGUGGGCAUCACAGCAGCCAGGAGUUUGGUCAGUUCAUACAUCCUCCCAUGUAUGAAACACACAGACCAGAAUAUUUAAUGCCCUGAGUAGGCCAUUAUGUGAGACAGCUAAGAAAUUAGGGAAAAACAAAGCAAAACCUGGCUCCAGAAAAUCUGAUUAGUGGUCUUUUUUUUUCUUUUUUUUUUUUUUUUUUCUGGAAAGUGCUGGCAGCAGAAAUAUUUUGUUUUUGUUGAUUCACAGAGAUUAGCUGACACUAAAUGACUGAAGCUGAGCUGGGACUGACGUGUAUGUCUGAUCUCCAUCUGCACUGUCUGAAACAAUCUUCGUUUUUUUCCUGUGUGAGUUUCAGUGUUUUGUUCAGAGGCAAGUCCCUGAAACUUAACUUCCCAAGGAACUCAUGAGUGGUUUUUCUGGAUUUGCUCAUUAUAGAGUGCAUCCUUCUUUCCCAGUUUGGAUGCUUAUGAAGAACCCAUGGUCAGAUAAUUGGAGAGAACUGAGAUUGGUUAACUAACGUGUUACCAGCCCUCAAUGGUGACUCAUGCGCUCUUAGUGUAGUUUGGCUUGUCUUUCCCGUGUCUGUACCCUCAUUAUGACUGCCCUUCCUGAGGACAAGGGACCAGCUCUGAAGCCUGAAAGUAGCUUCUGAAUUUCUGCACUCAUAAAUUUGCUUUUAUUGAUUGUAUUUGGGAUAUGUUAUUGAAGUGAAUUCCUAGUAGGAUGUUGAAUAUUGCUGAAUGCUGGGGUUUCUUUCUUUUUUUGAGCUAUGCUUUAGUUAGUCCUCUUUUAUCAUUUAAAUCAUAUUACAAUACUAUGAAUCAAUGUUUAUUUUGGAAGAGGAAACUAAAUCUAUCAAAGCAAUUAGAAAAUUAGAGGUUUUUCUGAGCUGGUGAGCAGCCUUAGGGGGAAGAGGGGGGUUGUUGCUGUUGCUGCAGACAAGUUUUUAGAAAAGUCUCUGGGUAAGGUUGUAUCAUUGCCACAGCCCUCACUGACAAAACAUGCCAUAAAAGCAGAAUCCCGUUGCUUAGCAACUUACAAGAGAUGAUUAACCCUUUGCAGCAUGGACAGCUGUUCUCCUAUAGGAUGACAUGCAACUAUCAGAAGGGCAGGAUCAUACAGUGACAGUAUGGAGUAAAAAGUGACUAAAAAUAAUCUGAGGUUAUGAUAUUUAACAGCACUGCCAGUAUUUCUUCAUAUGACCUCUAGAAUUCCUGCUUGGUUUAAAGACUGACUCUGUCUUGAUAUUGUCCAUGCACAGGAAGCCUUAAAGCAGAGUAGUAGCGACAGUAGAUAGGGAAGUUCCUCACCUCUCAUCUCCUUCCAGUGCAACAGGGAAAUUCUGAAGACCAUUUCAGGCUAAAAAAUCUCCUUUUAAUUAAAAGUGGUACUAAUCUCUGAGGUUGACGGGAUGAAAAAUUUCCAUUUCCUUCUUUGCAGAGGGCCUAAAAUUCAGUAAGAGUGGGUCAGCAGGAAUGUGCGGGUGUGGUGGUUGUGCGCUGCAGCGCAGAAGUUUUCUGUAUGCUGUCACUAAGAUGUUCCAGCACUUGAGUCGAUAACUUCUUCAGAUGUGAUCACUUGGACAGUGUUCAUCUCAUCCAGCUUCAGCUGUCUUAAAAAUGAGGCGUGGAGUCUAGACAUCUGUAGGCAGAGCGAAGGGAGCAGUUGCACUGGGUAAUUCAUUACGUCGCUUCUCAGCACAUCCUGGGGUGGGCUGGGCUGCCCUGGUUUGCCCCUUUGGAAAGCAAUGUUGAAAGACCAGUUUGUGUUGUGGGCUGUGGAGAGUGCUGGGUGAGAGGAACACAAGCCUGUGAUUUUAGCAGUAUCUUGUGUGGCAUUAUUUCCACAAGGAUGAUUUCCUAGUGUUCAGUAUGCUGCUUAAUAACAGUGAAAGUGAAACAGGGUUUUCAAUUGCAUCUGUGGAAAAACACUCAUAUGGUAACAAAGGUCAAGGCACAGACAGAGGAUUUUAAAUUGCAAAGGCCUCCCUUUGUGAAAUUAACUAGUAAUAAAGUCGAGAAUUGCCCUGAAGCAAGAAACACUCUGAGUUUCACCUCUCCCCCUUUGUAAUUUUGCAGCCGCAGCAAUUAAUUUCUGUAACUAUUGGCCCCAGUUCUGGUAGCUGCAGAGUAGAUUGGGGCUGUUGGCUGCUGAGAACAGUUGUCGCAUACACAUUAUGCAUGAUAUGUGAUGGAUGGACUUUGUGCAUCAUCAUCCCCAGUACCUUUGUGUAUUUGCUGCCAUUAAUGGAGAAAAUUAUCUUAGCUAGAAAACAAUUUGUAUUUGGUAGCGUGAAGAUUGCGUGUUCCUCUUGUUUGCUGAAGGGUUAAUUGUGACCUUAACAGAGAUGUAGAAUCAAUCCAGAUGACAAAGUGCUGUGAACACAGCCUUUCCUGUUGCAUAUCUGAAUGCCAUCCAUGUGUCCCUCUGUCUUUGGUCGGUAUGAUUUUGUAUGGUUCUAGCAGGGCAAACACAGAAACUGCUAGAGAGCUUGUUACCUUGUUCACAAAUGUGUUCACCUGAUGCAUUUAAGGCUUUCAGCUCCAGAAGACACCCAGUGUGACAAACAAGCCGAGUGCAGGCCACUUGGUGUUUUGCACUGUAGCUUUUUGUAUGAAUCUCCGUGCCACUGCAAGAUCUCUAGGGAGAUCAACGCUGUAACAGAGGCACAAACGAAUGCAGAUAUUUCUGAGUUGUUAGCCGGAUUUUUUACUGCUGUUUUGAACAUACUCUCUUAACUCACCAGCAGCAAAAGAAACUUCUACCUCUGAUGUCUGAGCUAUUUUCCUUUAGCUACUGCGAGUAAGGAGACAUAGCUUGCAAAUUGGGAUGUUGUGGCAUUUGACUAGAAUGGAUGGAUUUAGCCUGUCUGAAAUGCAAUUUCUCUUGGAGCCUAUCAAGAGGAAAUACCCAUCUAUCUUCCCUUCGUGCUUGCUGCUGUGUCACACAGAGGGACAGAAUGCAUUAUUAGCCCAGCCUUGUACCACUCCUUGCAUGUGAGUUACAGUGCUUUGGUUAUGAGCUGGUAAUCCUAAGCUCAUGCAUGUUUGUUUUAGGGCAGAGAAGAGCCAGGGUAGGUGUGAAAUAAGUGCCUAUGUGCAAAAAGUCCUGUUUGUUCCAGAAGAGAGACAAGAGUUAAAGCACGUUUCCUGGGGAUUAGGAGGGGAAGGGCCACAGUGUCCUACACUCUCUGGUGAGAGAAGAGCACCUGCAGCCCUGCUCCUCUCUCUCCCUCUCUCCUCAGACACUGAGACUGGAAAUGGGAUCACCAACUGGUGGGUGUGCUGGGGGGUAGCAGGCAUUCAGACCCUGUGCUCAUGUUUGACUAGGAUCUCAAUUUGUGUUCUUAUGUGUGUUUAUAGGGGCAGGUUUUCACAGAGUUGAGGUCCCAGAACUUAAUUUUUGAAGGGAAGCAAACUUAAGAGGGGGUUUUUGUGGUCAGUAGGACUGUCAGAAAGCAAUGUGUACGGUUGAGUCUUGUUGCCUUUGGGGAAAUACUUGGGACGUUUUGUACCUGCCUGACUCAGAUUUAGUAAGCAGCUGAAGGCUUCCUGGUUUUUGUGAUUCUCCUCUCUGCAGGAGAAUCUGCACUUCUGCAAGAUUGCAACAUACUUUGUACUAAAACACAGUGUAAGUGAUGCAUCCUGGGAGUUACAUGGGUCUUGAGGUGCUCUCAAGGCUGAGAUCCUGUGUGCCAGAGGAGCCUUGGUGCCUCAGGCUUGGAGUCUAUGGAGCUGGAGCCAUUUGUCAUGUACUGGCCUCUCCCCUCCCUCACGGGAGGAGAGAUAUAGGGCAGAGGAAGCUGGAGUGCCCUGACGGGACUUGCCCUACCUCCAUAGGGUCCAGGCCAGGUAGUUCUGAGUCAGCUCUAUGCUGGCCCUGCACUGGGUCUGUUUAUUGGCAAACACGUGCCUGCAUCUGCCCACAGGAUCAAGUUCACUAAUCCCCAAUUUAGAGGGAAAAGUGCAGAUAUUCUUCAGGUCCAGGUGUGCUUCAGCCAUCUGAAUUGUGAACAAAUACCCAAUGCAUUAAAUUCUAGUCAUGAGAAUGGGGAAAUAAAAGUCAACUAAUCAAGAAAUUAUUGAUUUUUUCUUUUUUUUUUUUUAAUUUGUUCUUGGUUAAUAUGUAGCCAUCCCUUGCUAUGCUUGAAUACACUUGCAAACAUUAAAUGUGAGACAGGCAGUAAGGAGUGACUGCAAUCAUUUUCACAGUCUUUAAUUGCAGCAGAAAGUAGUCAGUCGACCAUAUCUGAUGUGGAAGAUCUGCUUGCCCAGGUGUUCACCACGAGGUUUGGAUGUGUGAUUCCAGGUGAAGCUGUUGCUUUCAGUGCUGUCAACAGUGAGCCCUGGGGAGCUUGCUCUUUCAGUCAGAUGACAGCUAGUGACAGAUUUCUUACUAUUUGUUACAGUGUUGAUGCCUUUUACUGCAUGGCACAUCAGGAGAAAAAGAUUCACUGUUCUGAUUCAGCCGUACCUGGCCUUUUUGUUCUCACCAUUUUAGCUUCAUGGGGUAGCUUUUAAAUGUAAAGCCCGUGACAUGAGAUUAUUUAAUUGAAAUGUAAACAGCUGUAUUUUGAAUUCAUCAUGCUUCAGAGCUAAAAUGAACUUUAAUGCCAUGAUGCUACAGAACACAGCAAUUUUUACAUAUAACUUCAGUACAAAAUCACAGAAAGCUUAACUGUCCUCAGGCACAGCACAGGGGGCUAUUCUGCCACAUUUCUCAAAUUUUUAUGCUUUUUUGUGCAGCUUUCUACCCUUCAAGUUGUUUUCCCUCCUACCUGCUCAGAACUUAAGUAAAAUGUUACGCUAUUUUUUGAUGGUAAGGAAGCCUCCCAGUCUUAAAUGCUUAACCCUGUGAUGGGAGUAGAAACUUCACUCUUCUGCAGAGAGGGAAACCAGGCACUGGGAGGCCUACUGGUCUGAAGAGGUCCCUCACAGAAAUCCACAGCAGACUGAGGGAGACAUGUUUGUGGUUGCCCUGCUGACACGCCUCGAAGCCUUGCUCUCAGAUUUGCUAUUUGAAUUUGCAUGUAAGUUAUCCCUCACGCUGGAAGCACAGCUGUCACUAGGAAUAUGCCCCAUGUCCAAUCAUAAGGCAACAAGAUCCAGAAAGAGAAAACCCAUGACUUUGGAUGAAUAUGCACUGGUGGCAGAGUGCUGUCUUUUCCACCCAGUUACAGAUAACUCUGGGUGCCCGCGCAGACUGCAGCCAGCAUGGUUGACAGACUGUUGCUGUGCUCUCCCAGUAGCACAAAGCAGAGCAGAGCCUGGAGUCCCAUCUUAAUUUCACUUAAGAAAUAGCGAAUGGUCACUGUGUCUGUAAAUCUCCAUCAACUUUUCUAUUUUCAGUGACUGGGUAAAGGUGCUGCUGCAUUUUUUGGUAUAGAGGAGAACCUACUUUCUGUCUAGGGUCUUUUUGCAGGCUGUCAAGUGCUAGCAGAGACCAAAGAAAGGCAAGUCUCUGGCAACUCAGUUUCUUUCUGCAGGCAUAGAGAUUACAGUGAAGGGGUAGUCAGGUAGUUGUAGAUGUUUAAAACUGUUGGCCCUUGCACUCCUUAAUUUCUUCAAAGUCUCCAUGUGACUCCCUUGGCUAGAAGAUGAGUGAGUGUUGAUUAAGAACAACCCAGAUUUUUGUCUUAAUAAUUAAAGAGCAUGUGCUGUUUCUUCACAGAGUAUUUCAAGGUCCCUAUAAACUUAGAUGGUAUUGCAAUACAGAGCCCGGAGAAGUGUUUUGCAACCAUUACACAGAGAGUUAGGUAACUUUUUAUGGAUACUGAAGCCAGCUCCACUAACAAGGCUUACCUAUCUGGUUCUGAGAAAUUUCUGGUGGUGGUGGUGGAGGCAAUAGUUGAUAGUUAUGAUUCUGUCUAAAAACUAAUUUUUAUUCUAUCAAGAGGUAGAAAAUACUGUGGGAUGAUGUUAUAUUUCCUAGAACAUAAUUCCAAGAAAGUACAUACAUAACAAAUGCUAAAUAAUGAGAAGGGGAUUCUGUCAGCAGAUUAAAUAUAUAAUUGCUAUUGAGAAAGAUCAGACUCCCAAGGAAUACAUGACUGAAUUUGAUAGUAGACAAAGAUGGUCAUUGAAACCAAAAGUCUCCCAGUUACAGAUAUUCAGUGCUCUUAUUGUGAUCUGGAGCACCUAACUCAGUCUGAUGAACAUUACCACUAGUUUUGAAGUGCUUUUUGACACCCUGAUCCAUGUGAGUAUUUUUAUUUUCCUGAUCCAUUUUCAGAAGCAUGUAAUAGCAAAGUGUAUAUCUUCAGAUGUUGCAGAGGGUUUUAUGUCCCCGGAUCCUGGUUAUAGCUCGCAGCCUGGAGCACAGAUAACACCCAGUAAUGAGGCAGUGUGAUGUCAGAUACAAUGGGUGGGGAGUUAUUUGUAACGAACAACUGAUUUAGUUUCUUUCCUUCCAACCCUCAAUGAUACUGUGAGGUUUUGACUGCCAGAGGUCUGCAUGUGUGAAAUGACAAUGAUUGUUUUAUGCAAAUGGGUUUCAUGCUCUGGAUCGCCCAUAAGCAAUUCAGGGAGAUUAUUUCUCAUUAUUCGCCAUUUCAGCUGAGUGACAGGCCUUGCAAGCACAGGGCGUUGAGUCUGAUUCCUGAACGAAUAGCUUUCAGAUUCACACGGAGCACACAAGAUGGUCUUUUAGCAGGGCUGCAUGCACGUUCUCCACACAAGCCCUGAUGAAAACGUGCUUCUCGUGCUUUCUGCUUCUGCACUGUGUUCUUGUUGGUGUUUGUUCAUCACUUGCAAGGAACGGGAGCGUUGCCUGGUCGGGCAGUUGUCUGUGUGCAGGCAGAGCACCGGGCGCUCCUCGGCAUCCCGCCCCUGCCCGCGCUUUGGGACCCGCCGCUACAGAAGCGGGCGGUCGGUGCUGCGCUGUCCGUGGUGCUGCUGAGUCGGGGGCGCGACCAGCUUUGUUCUGUGGGCGCCGCUUCGGAGCGAGAGGGUAAUUCGUUUGUGGCAGUCGUAGCUCUGAAUAGGUAAUGAUUAAUAUUUCAUGGUUAUUUUUCCGUAAGGCAUGAGUCUUUGGAGAAUGCAUCGGUCUGACUCGCUUGGAGAAUUAUUAAAGAAUGAUCCUGCCUUGCUUAGCUUCAAAUCAAAAUGUAGUCAGGCAGUGCAUGCAAAUAUCCUUAUAUUAAAUGAGAACUCUCUGGCUGUCUGACUAAUGCUCUGCUGCCAAUACGUCAGUACAAAAGUGAGCACUUAACUUUUAGAAAUUUCUGUUUCAUUCUCCAGUCUUACAAGUCAGCUGUCUUAUUCUCUCCACUUGUGGUGUGGACCUCUGAUCUAGAUUUUACAAAAGGAAUAAUGAAAAACUCUUCUAUGAGAUCAUGAAUGUUAACCAAUCACAUAAAUUGCAGCAUCUAUGAUUCUGAUGGAAGCUGUUCUCUUUUUUCUUAUUUAUUUUUUACUGUUCUUGAGUCAUGAGCAAACCUCCUUAAAAUAUGAGGGCUGCACAGAAAGCAAUACCUCCUAUUUUAAUAUGAGAGUCCGUGUCAUCAGAGGCAGAUGUUGGUGGUAUGGCAGUAGAGGCUGAACCUUUCUGCCAGUAUUCCAUUACAUUUUGUUGCCGUGUGACAGAUGGCAGCAGAGGGGCAGGUUGACAAAAUGGUGUCUGACAUGGAAGUGCAUAAGAAGCAAAGGGGGUGUCACUGAGGCAGUGGAUGGUACUUUUCAUCAGUGGCAACAGCAGGUCAUCUCCACUGGUACUGAUUUUGGUGAGCAUGAGAUGCGGGCUCUUGUUCAUCGCUGGUAUGUUGAAAAAAAAGCUGAUGAGAAUUUGCUCUAUUAAAUAGUGUUAUUGUGCUCUUUGUGUCCAUUGUUGUUUCCAUGGAAAUGAAUAGGUGGUGGUACUUACAGAGUGACCUACGUAUUUCAGGACUGUUUUUAAGAAAGGCUUAAGACAUAUUGUAGCAGGAAGCUGCUAUGCACCAUCAAUCAGCAUGGAACAAAACGUGGGACAGAUUCCUACUUAGGUGUAUAGGUUCUAUUAAUUAAUCUGAAUUAAGUCAGACCAGAGGAAAUGACACAAAAGAUGAUGUGUAUUCCCUCAGACUAUUGUAAUGGCUUAAUCCUUGUGCAAACAGCAAUACUGGAAUAUAAAUAAUUCACAGCAGAUUCUUCUGGUCCUAAUCAGUGUUUCAUUUUCUUGGACACAGUAGAGAAAACUACAAAAACGUGACAAAAGAGAAUUAAGAUUGCAGAGAAAUUAGGUGUUAUGAAGUGUCAUCAUUAAGGUGGCCUGUGAAAUCUGGAUUUUACUACCCCCACCCCAUGUCCAUACACACGCUAUGCUUGUUCUUAAUUACAUUCACAUCUACCAAUUCCAUUUAUACGAUGAAGUGGAUAUACAUAAGUAAGCGAAAAAAAGAAUUGGUUCUUUCUAGGAUGUUAUUUUAUGAUUAGAAUCUGUUUUAUAUCAUAACUGCCUCAGGUUUUUAAGAGCUGUCUAUAGUCUGUAAGGCAGAAAGGUGUAUGUGGGAAUGCAAGACAGUUCUAUGCUCAUCCAACACUUGUAAAUGAGUUUUGGAAAGAAAUGGUUUGCCGUUCUUGAAAUUCCUUGAGAGCUCACUGAGACAUAGGGUCAUCCUAGAAAUUUCAUCAUCUUCAUUAUCAAAAAAAACCCCAAGCACCUAAUAAAAUAAUCCCUUGUAUGUGUAUUUUUCUGUAGGUUCAAGUAAACAUUGUUAUCUGAUGAUCCAUCUUUUUUAGGCUAGUGCAGCUGAUAUGUCAAGCAAGACUUGCUCAGCAUUAUUAAAAUUCAUACCGCUUUAUGAAUUUAAGGCUUACAUCAGCACAAUGCAAAAUAUGAAAUCAAAAACUACUCUCUAGGUCAAACAGUCUUCAGAUAAUAAGCAAUAUUAUCAAAUAUUACCACAUUUAUCAGUGAAUUGUAGGUACCAGCAGAGAUGUUGCUUUCAAUGAUCCACAUGGCAAUCAAAUUUGCAUGUUUGUUUUAUGAAUCGAGUGCCUGAAAGAUAUUAUCUGUUGGUGUUUUUGUUGUUGUUGUUGUUGAGAUUCUUUCUCUUAAAGUGUCAGUUUUGGCAAGAGCACUGAUUGAAUGUUUUAAUAAUUAUGAGUGAGGUUUUGUUUUGUUUUGCCUGGUGCCACAGACACAGAAAAGCCUCUGCAUGUCUUUUUUGUUUCCAAGUUGAUGCUGUCAGUACAGUCUCUGAACCACAGCUGUCAAAAGUAACAACAUAAAACUAGAACUAAGAAUAUUCAAUUGUAUUUUAAAGUUCUUAAAUUAUAUUCUUACCUAAAGGCCAUCGUUCACCAAACCCUGACUUCUCAAAACACAUAAGCAUGUUUUUAUUUUUAUUAAGAUGAAUGAGUUUGGUUUUAUGCAUCUGAACCAUGUACUGCCAAUCCUCCUGUUUUAACACUUUUUAGAAACAAAUAAAUGGCUCUAAUUUGGCUGUUUGCUUCAUGGAUAAACAUCAGGUAAAACUGAUGUUUUGUAUGUGUGUGGUGUAUAGACCGUGGUGUAUGCAUUCAAUCCUAGGAGCAGGUUCUGCAUUUCUGGCUCCUUACAGGUUAAUUAUGCUGGGAUUUGCUCUGUUAUGCUUCUCACAUCAAUUUAUUUUUCCUAAGAUUUCUCUUAUACUGUAAGUCUCAUUUCAUACAUUUAAUAUCACUGUUCAUCAGCCUAAUUACCACCCCACCCCUUUGGCACAGAUCCUGAAAGUGAGACUCAAGAUUCCUGCCUCAGCCCCUGGACCAUCUGCUUUUUCCAGUUCAGAUGCGCUAGAUGUAGUCUCCAGAGCAGCAUUCGUCUUCUCAGCUGCACUGGCUGGUGUACUGCAGCUGCAUCCAGGAGAACCGAGCCCUUUCUUUCUCUUCCCAGUGUCUACCAUGUCUCCUCGGGUUGCAGUUCUUCCUUCACAUUUCUUCUGUGCAACAGAUGACAAAAACCUCCCUGCAUGGUCAAUAAUCCAUUUAGUUCAUCAGGCAAGAUUUCCAGUGCCAGAUGGUAUCUGGUCUUUUGAUUCAGCUUUGAGAUGUACUAGUGGAAAACCACAGGCAGACAAAAAGCUCCCUGUUGACUACAUACCUACGCAGGAGCACACGCAAACCACGCUCUAGGUAACCCUGACAGUUAUUCAUUGCAGUGCUUUGUGACCUGAUUUUAAAUAGCUGCAACAAAUUGUUUUUGCCUUGAAUUACAAAUAAUUUAUUUUGGGCAAACCAGGCCACUUUUAUGGGAUCCAGCAUCAUGCCAAGUGUGGUAGGUAGAGAUGACAGGAUGCCUGCCCUUUUCUGGAAGGUAGCUGCUAACUCCCUGGGGGAUGCAGCUCAUGUUUGUGAGCUGCUCCUGGCUCUAGACUCCUCUGUGCAUGCAGACCCGCUGCUGGUGGGAUGGCUGUGGGUGCUGGCUGCAGCACAGGGUUGCAAGACUGCUCCAAAAAUCUGGUGCUACAAGUCUGAUGGGAAACCCAUCAGACCUGACCCAGACCUUCCCCCUCAAGAGAUCAUCACUGAACACUGGUUUUUAGGAAGGGACACACUAGGCAAUUUCCUAGGAUAGUGAAAUAGAAGAGGUAGAAAAAUUACAGCAGUAUGUGUAGAAAGGGAGAGGGCCUGGCUCCCAUGAGCAGCUCUGGCUCCGUCCCUGCAUGCUGUCCCUCACCUGGGAAACCUGCUUGGUCUUGAAGCUGCAAGAUGUGGAAUAAGGAUAGAACUGGGAAGAUACUGGCAGCAUCAUGUAAUUCAAUGUCACUACCAUCAGGCAAGGUCAAAAUAGUAUUACCUGAGUUCUUAUGUUCACUGAUGCCUGUGGCAGCAAAAGUCAGUUUUCCCUACUCAGUUCAAAUGCCCUGUGUGAAUGUGAAGGCUUUCUCAGAGUGAAAGAUUCUCAGCCAGGGCUCUUUCAGAUGGAAGCCAAUAACUCCUGCUGGAGAAAUGCAUUUCCUGCAGCUAGAGCCUUGUUGGCAGAUUCUGACUGGCCAUACAUGAGCAUACAGUAUCUAUAGAAUUUAUGCUUGAUUUUUUAGUGUAUCCAGGAGAAAAUUGCCAGAAUAAGGAUGCUGAGGAUUUCGGUUGAGAUUAUGCAGAUUUGGGUUUGUCUCUUUAAUUUUACUUUUGAAUCUACAUUGCUAUCCCAGCAUCAAAGCAGCUGUUUUCAUGACCAGCCUUCUGUCACAUGGACACAAAUUGUUCAUUUUGAGUACAUUGCAUUCAAUUGGAAAAAUUGCUUAGGUUUAAUAUUUUAUAGGAGAAGCUGCGCUAAUCUCUGCUAAUACAGAGACUGUGCUGUCCCUCUUCCCUUUUAUAUGUUCCAUUUUUAAAUGCUACUCCUCCAUUAUGAGGCAAGAAAAAUUGCCUUUGAUCAUAGAGUCUUAUUUUGGUCUCGAUCUGGGAGUGCCCAGCUAUGCCUGUAGCCAUAAGCUGUCUGCACUCUUAUUUAGAUGAGAUGGUGGAAGGGCUGCAUUCUCACUGGGCAUUUGUCUCUUCCUGAACUUAUUUGUUUUUGUAGCCUUUUUCUCCCUGAAUUAUAGAAGGCAUCGAUGCUGGGAGAGCAUUGCAGUCCCACUGCCAUUCUUCAAGAUCCUGCAAGGAAAACCUGAUCCAUGCUUUGCCCUUCUUGGGAUUCUCCGUGCCCCUUACAAGCACAGGAAGAGCUGACACCACGACAGCUCGAUCCAGCCGGCUCCCAGCAGACUCCUGAUCUUCACCGGCUGCUGAACGUAACACCCUGCCUGCUCUGCUGGUAUUUUUACAGCUAAUGUUGGUAAGCAGAUGACACAGGCUGGUGAAGAUCCUUGAAACUCCACGGGAGGAAAUGCAUGAGUAUGUGUGUGGGAGAGGCCUGCAGAUAAAAAUACUGUGCUGGCUAUAGGAAAAGAUACACAUGCCUCAAUCUGUUGGUGGGUUGCUAUUCUCGUUCAUGGUAAUCGAAGUGGAGGCUGCACUGGAACAAGUACAGCAGUAGGAUCUUUCCCUGUUGAUUCACUUGCUGUCUUCUACUCUCCCUCUGGUGAGGCUUCUUGACUCCUCUCCCACUAGAAGCAAUGGCCAACUCCAGCUCCAAGUCUUCCUAUCCCCGCCAGACACUCAGCACCCCCAGCACCCACAGGGUAGGGUCACUGCAGAGCCCCCACUUUCCUUAUGCCAUUAUCUUCCCUUUCCAGCUUUGCUUAUGAAAUUUAAACCACUUAGCAUAUGGACUAAAUUUAGGGAGGCAUAAAGUAUUUGCGUAAAAUACGCUUGAUUUUCCAAGUGUGAAAAAUAAGCACGAAAUAACAAGUCUAAUGUUGGACUCGAGAGGAGGUCAAGUAUUUUAAAAUUAAAAUCCUUUAAAAGAAUCUGUAUCUGUGAUGAUGGAUGAACUUUUUUCUGACAGAAGAAAACCUCCCCAUUCUCAUUACAGUCAGAAUACACGCAGGUAAUCAAGUCAGAUGAAAGAUGAAUUCUAAAUAUGACAGUAGCCCUUCUUUUGUACAAAAUGCCACGUAAAUGAGUUGUAAAUUAUUUUUAGUUGCUACUGGAAACAGAGCAAGGGGGAAAAUCAAUAUUGACAAAACCCUGCUUUAUUUUUAAGCAGUUACUGAUUGUCCGCUGGCACCAAUAAGGUGAGAAGAGAGCUGAAGCUGAAGCAAGUGGUGCAAGGUGGUCUGGGCUUAGAAAACAGAGGCCUAACAGCCCAACAACAUUAUUCCUGCACGGCUAUAGCCAUCCUCAUUGCUGCUUCCCUUCACAUGGACUGGACAGAGGCGAGGCUCACUGUCCCUGAACAGGAACAGCAGUGGGGUCCUUGUGCCCACCCCUCUGCUGGGACUGAGCAUGAGGACACUGAGCCCACCUCACAUCGUCACCAGCCAGGAGCAUUCCUGACACAGCUCCUCCAAGCUGCCUGGCUUCUCUUUCUGCAUUGGCUGUAGUGGUGAUGGACAUCAAGAUGAGAAUGGCAAAACAGAAGGGCUGGAUUCCCCCUGCCUCUACUGGCUGCAGUGAUGGUCCUUCCUGCAACGCCUUGGUUCUUGCAUAUAAUGGAAUGAAAUCAUGAACAUGCAGAAUUCAGGUUUGAUUAACUUUUAGCUUCUCAUGACAUGCAGCUGUGUAAGAUGGAGCAUGAGCCAGGGCAAGCCACUCACAGCAAAUGCCACAUUUAUUACUGCUCUGUUCCCAGGACACGCAAGAGGAUGCAAUAUGGUCAGAAUGAAUUCAGAAAAAAAAGAUUGCCAAGUUCCUAUGGCUUAGAGGUUGAUACUGAGCUGGUUCUAAUGCAAUUGCCUAAAUUUCAGAGAUGCCGUAAUGUGAUCUUACUCUUCCUUAAAAUGCCAUGGAACUUCUAAUGACAACACAGAUCAAAUUUUCUGUUUCAUGACUCAUUCCAAGGAAAAGGAAGCACUGCUGCACUCAAUAUGCAAAAAAAAAAAAAAAAAAAAAAAAAAAAAAAAAAAAAAAAAAGCAGAAAGGGACCUUUAUUAAGGCCCUCCUUUUAGGCCUAUGUGAAUCUGAUCCUCAGCACCGUGUCCCUGUGAAGUUCAGUUUUUUAGGUGGAAUGAAACUGACAGCCCAGUUAUGGAUAGCCUUCUGUAAAUUCUAUCCACUGAAACCAAAACAGCUGUGCAGAGCAGAGCUAAGCCAAGCAUCUGCCUGCCUUCACACGCUGCAAAUCUCAAGUGAGCGGUUAAGGAACAGAGGAAGGAAUUGUGCUGAUGUGCCAAUUAAUCAGUGUGGUCUGAAACGCGUGCCGACGCAGGAGGUCGGGGUGGAUGGAUGGGGACAGCAUGAUGAUUUUCAUGCGAAAGAACUUGCUCGAUAAAGGUUGGGCUUUUGGUCGUGGAAUGCAUGAAAAAGAGUCCAUUGGAUGAGGUACAACAGAAUUCUUGACAAUCUGAACAUUUUCUUCUUUCUUUUGUUUUUCUGCUCUUCACGAUGACUGUUUUCUCAGCAGACCAAGAAAUGCAGCCGUGUCCACCUGCAGGUGCUGAGGGUUUUGCACAGACAGAAGAUGGCCCUGUACCUUCCAGGUAGCUCCACGUGUGCUGAGGAGAGGCUGCCUGACCUCCAGUGCUGCCACAGCACACAGCCAGGGCAGUCCUGUUAGCUGUGCACACAGCUGCUAUGAAUUCUACCUCUCUGUUCUUCUGUCAGUUUAAUUUCGUAACAUUUACUGCUUUAGGAGGUACAUUCAUCUUAGGGUGUUGGUGUUUUUUUUAUUUUUUUUUUAUUUUUUUCCAUUUUGUUCUGCAAAAGGUCAAAAUUGUCAGAAGAGAUUUAUUCUGGGGGAAAAGGAGACCCAUUAAAAGCCAAGGUAAAACGCUUUCUGGAACAGAAAGGAAUGAGCCUAAGCUGAAGAAAUAUGUUCCAUGCCAUGCCUCCUGAUUUAUGGCACAGGUAUUUGCUCACCAUACUGAUCACACGUGCAAGUGCUGCCCUUUGCACAGGCAGUGCUGAGAAUGCACUGUGACCCACAGGCAGUGCCUGGGGACUGAGACUCCCCGUGGGGCCACUGCUGGCCUCGCCUGCAUCUGCUGCCCCAUGCUACACUGCCACACAACCGUGCUGCAGCUCGGUGGCUCUUAUAAAAUCCCCACCGAGGUAGCUGUGUGCCAAACUUCACCCUGGGCUGCCUGGCACCCGUCCUUGUAGCGUGGCUCGCACCCACCUUCGCACUCAUCUCACUAUUUAUUCCCCAUCCCUUUUUUUCCUGUUUUUCCCCCUUUUCUUUAAUUUUUCACGCUGUUAUUUGUCGAUUUUUUUCCUUUUUUUUUCUUCUUUUUCCUCCUUCUCCUUUUUCUCACCCUCACCUUUCUCUUUUCCCACAUUUUUAUCCUUCCUUUCCUUUCCCUUUCCCCCCACGUUCCUUACCCCUCUUUUCCUUUCCCCCAUUUGCUCCACCC